ACGCGUGGGAAUCUACCUAGUAGUGGAGGAUAACUCGGGGAAACUCGAGCUAAUACUGCAUACGCCCUACGGGGGAAAGCGGGGGAUCUUCGGACCUCGCGCUAUUGGAUGAGCCCGCGUUAGAUUAGCUUGUUGGUGAGGUAAUGGCUCACCAAGGCGACGAUCUAUAGCUGGUCUGAGAGGAUGAUCAGCCACAUUGGGACUGAGACACGGCCCAAACUCCUACGGGAGGCAGCAGUGGGGAAUAUUGCGCAAUGGGCGAAAGCCUGACGCAGCCAUGCCGCGUGUGUGAAGAAGGCCUUCGGGUUGUAAAGCACUUUCAAUAGGGAGGAAAGGUUGUAGCUUAAUACGUUGCAACUGUGACGUUACCUAUAGAAGAAGCACCGGCUAACUUCGUGCCAGCAGCCGCGGUAAUACGGAGGGUGCGAGCGUUAAUCGGAAUUACUGGGCGUAAAGCGCGCGUAGGCGGCUUCGUCAGUCAGAUGUGAAAGCCCCGGGCUCAACCUGGGAACUGCAUUUGAUACUGCGGAGCUAGAGUAUGGUAGAGGAU
rnacentral:rRNA from 1 species